rnacentral:tRNA from 2 species
GGGCCGUUAGCUCAGCUGGUAGAGCAGCGGACUUUUAAUCCGUUGGUCGCGGGUUCGAUUCCCGCACGGCCCACCA